GAAUGCUGACAUAAGUAACGAUAAAGCGGGUGAAAAGCCCGCUCGCCGGAAGACCAAGGGUUCCUGUCCAACGUUAAUCGGGGCAGGGUGAGUCGACCCCUAAGGCGAGGCCGAAAGGCGUAGUCGAUGGGAAACGGGUUAAUAUUCCCGUACUUGGUGUUACUGCGAAGGGGGGACGGAGAAGGCUAUGUUGGCCGGGCGACGGUUGUCCCGGUUUAAGCGUGUAGGUGUGUGUUCCAGGUAAAUCCGGUUCACUUUAACACUGAGGCGUGACGACGAGGCACUACGGUGCUGAAGCAACAAAUGCCCUGCUUCCAGGAAAAGCCUCUAAGCAUCAGGUAACAUCAAAUCGUACCCCAAACCGACACAGGUGGUCAGGUAGAGAAUACCAAGGCGCUUGAGAGAACUCGGGUGAAGGAACUAGGCAAAAUGGUGCCGUAACUUCGGGAGAAGGCACGCUGACACGUAGGUGAAGUGAUUUACUCAUGGAGCUGAAGUCAGUCGAAGAUACCAGCUGGCUGCAACUGUUUAUUAAAAACACAGCACUGUGCAAACACGAAAGUGGACGUAUACGGUGUGACGCCUGCCCGGUGCCGGAAGGUUAAUUGAUGGGGUCAGCGCAAGCGAAGCUCCUGAUCGAAGCCCCGGUAAACGGCGGCCGUAACUAUAACGGUCCUAAGGUAGCGAAAUUCCUUGUCGGGUAAGUUCCGACCUGCACGAAUGGCGUAAUGAUGGCCAGGCUGUCUCCACCCGAGACUCAGUGAAAUUGAACUCGCUGUGAAGAUGCAGUGUACCCGCGGCAAGACGGAAAGACCCCGUGAACCUUUACUAUAGCUUGACACUGAACAUUGAGCCUUGAUGUGUAGGAUAGGUGGGAGGCUUUGAAGUGUGGACGCCAGUCUGCAUGGAGCCGACCUUGAAAUACCACCCUUUAAUGUUUGAUGUUCUAACGUGGACCCGUAAUCCGGGUUGCGGACAGUGUCUGGUGGGUAGUUUGACUGGGGCGGUCUCCUCCUAAAGAGUAACGGAGGAGCACGAAGGUUGGCUAAUCCUGGUCGGACAUCAGGAGGUUAGUGCAAUGGCAUAAGCCAGCUUGACUGCGAGCGUGACGGCGCGAGCAGGUGCGAAAGCAGGUCAUAGUGAUCCGGUGGUUCUGAAUGGAAGGGCCAUCGCUCAACGGAUAAAAGGUACUCCGGGGAUAACAGGCUGAUACCGCCCAAGAGUUCAUAUCGACGGCGGUGUUUGGCACCUCGAUGUCGGCUCAUCACAUCCUGGGGCUGAAGUAGGUCCCAAGGGUAUGGCUGUUCGCCAUUUAAAGUGGUACGCGAGCUGGGUUUAGAACGUCGUGAGACAGUUCGGUCCCUAUCUGCCGUGGGCGCUGGAGAACUGAGGGGGGCUGCUCCUAGUACGAGAGGACCGGAGUGGACGCAUCACUGGUGUUCGGGUUGUCAUGCCAAUGGCACUGCCCGGUAGCUAAAUGCGGAAGAGAUAAGUGCUGAAAGCAUCUAAGCACGAAACUUGCCCCGAGAUGAGUUCUCCCUGAGACUUAGAGUCUCCUGAAGGAACGUUGAAGACGACGACGUUGAUAGGCCGG
rnacentral:rRNA from 1 species